AAAUUGAAGAGUUUGAUCAUGGCUCAGAUUGAACGCUGGCGGCAGGCCUAACACAUGCAAGUCGAACGGUAACAGGAAGCAGCUUGCUGCUUUGCUGACGAGUGGCGGACGGGUGAGUAAUGUCUGGGAAACUGCCUGAUGGAGGGGGAUAACUACUGGAAACGGUGGCUAAUACCGCAUAACGUCGCAAGACCAAAGAGGGGGACCUUCGGGCCUCUUGCCAUCAGAUGUGCCCAGAUGGGAUUAGCUUGUUGGUGAGGUAACGGCUCACCAAGGCGACGAUCCCUAGCUGGUCUGAGAGGAUGACCAGCCACACUGGAACUGAGACACGGUCCAGACUCCUACGGGAGGCAGCAGUGGGGAAUAUUGCACAAUGGGCGCAAGCCUGAUGCAGCCAUGCCGCGUGUAUGAAGAAGGCCUUCGGGUUGUAAAGUACUUUCAGCGGGGAGGAAGGUGUUGCGGUUAAUAACCGCAGCAAUUGACGUUACCC
rnacentral:rRNA from 5 species